UUCCGGUUUUCCGCUACUCGACGCCUCGCCUACACAACGCUGAAAAACAAAAAAACCCCAUUAUUGGACUCGCUGCGCACUGCGCAUUCCGGCGCACUUUAGCACUUCCAUCUCUGUAACUUCAAAAGCAGAGCUCUCUCUCUCGUUCUCUCUCUCUCUCUCUCUCUUUCUCUCUCUCGCACGCGAUGGGUAGAAAUCGUGCGCUUCCUUUGGUGUUGUUGAUGGUGGUUUGCUUCUGCUUUGUGUUUGAUGGUUCGAUUGAAGUCGUUGGACUCACAUUCUCUUCGAAACUGAUUAAUCGUUUCUCUGAUGAGGCCAAAGCGCUCUGGAUUUCUAGGAAUCGUAAUUUGAGUCUCGAUUCCUGGCCCAAAAGGAAUAGCUUAGAGUACUUUCAGUUGUUACUGGGUAGUGACUUGAAGCGUCAGAGAAUGAAGCUCGGUUCUCAGAAUCAGUUGCUGUUUCCCGUACAGGGCAGCGAGACUUUCUUUUUCGGAAAUGAGCUUGACUGGUUACAUUACACAUGGAUUGAUAUAGGGACGCCAAAUGUAUCAUUUCUUGUUGCAUUGGAUGCUGGGAGCGAUCUGCUGUGGGUCCCCUGUGAUUGCGUACAAUGCGCCCCCUUGUCUGCCAGUUACUACAGUUCUUUGGAUAGAGAUUUAAGCGAGUAUAGCCCAUCUUUAUCCAGCACAAGCAGGCACCUUUCUUGCAGCCAUCAGCUUUGUGAAUUGGGUUCCAACUGCAAAAAUCUGAAGGAGCCCUGCCCAUACAUUGCUAACUAUGAUGACCCGGGUACUUCAAGUUCUGGAUUUUUGGUCGAAGAUAAACUACAUUUGGAUUCAGUUAGCGAAAACGCAACCCCAAGAAGGGUGCAGGCUUCAGUUAUUAUAGGCUGUGGUAGAAAGCAAAGUGGUGGCUAUUUGGAUGGAGCUGCUCCUGAUGGUGUUAUGGGACUAGGACCCGGAGACAUUUCUGUUCCAAGUUUGCUUGCAAAAGCUGGAUUAAUUCGGAAAUCUUUCUCGCUCUGCUUUGAUGAGAAUGAUUCUGGGAGAAUCUUGUUUGGUGACCAAGGGCAUGCGUCCCAAAAUUCAACACCAUUUGUGCCUAUGCAGGGAAAUUAUAUUACUUAUUUUGUCGAGGUGGAGUCUUACUGUGUUGGCAAUUCUUGUCUUAAGCAAUCCGGAUUCAAAGCAGCUGUUGACAGUGGUGCAUCUUUUACAUUUCUUCCAACUGAAGUUUAUAAUAAAAUUGUGUUGGAGUUUGACAAACAAGUGAAUGCACAAAGGGUUAGCUUCCGGGGAGGCCCAUGGAAUUAUUGUUAUAACUCCAGUUCACAGGAGUUGAGUAAUAUUCCUGCCUUGCGACUCCACUUCCUAAUGAACCAAAGCUUUAUAGUUCAUAAUCCCACAUAUUCCAUUCCCCAGAAUCAGGUAUUGGAUCCUAUUCUUAUCUUUUCUUCAUUUGAAUGUAAACUUGUGAGACUGUAUAGCAGGACUUGGUGAAUGCUAGAAAGUUGGGACAAAAAAAUGUUCAACAAAAGUAUUGGAUGAAGUUGAGAACAGAGUUAUAGGAAGUGUACACUGUGUGCAUGGAGUUCUAUGAAUACUGCAUCCAAUGAAUGAACUGAUUCAAUAAAUUUGAGAAGUGAUUGGAAGGGAACUUGAAGAGGUUUUUGUCAGUAGCAAAGAGAUUGAGCUGAGCAAUCCAUCUUCUAACCCACUUCAGAUUUUGGCAUUCUAUAUAUAUAUGUGCUUUUUAUUAAUUCUUAGGGGAUUGUCCUUUCAAGAUUUGAACUUGGGAUUUCAAAUUGGGGGUCCCAUGUGAGUCCAAAUCUCAUUAGGAUGGGAGUUGGCGUUUGUAUGUGAUGGUCCUGAUGGAGAAGGAUUAUUCUUAUUGUGUAGUUCAAACCAUGAAAUUCACCAUGUUCUGCCUAGCUCUCCAGCCAAUAGAUCUCAACUAUGGUAUCAUUGGACAAAACUUCAUGACAGGUUAUCGUGUUGUUUUUGAUAUGGAGAAUUUGAAAUUGGGUUGGUCUAAUUCAAAUUG